GACGAACGCUGGCGGCGUGCUUAACACAUGCAAGUCGAGCGGAAAGGCCCUUCGGGGUACUCGAGCGGCGAACGGGUGAGUAACACGUGAGUAACCUGCCCUCAGCUUCGGGAUAAGCCUGGGAAACUGGGUCUAAUACCGGAUACGACCAUUGGAUGCAUGUCUGGUGGUGGAAAGUUUUUCGGCUGGGGAGUGGGCUCGCGGUCUAUCAGCUUGUUGGUGGGGUGAUGGCCUACCAAGGCGACGACGGGUAGCCGGCCUGAGAGGGUGACCGGCCACACUGGGAC
rnacentral:rRNA from 1 species